rfam:Archaeoglobus veneficus SNP6, complete genome.
GCCCGGAUGGGGUAGAGGUUAUCCUCUGGGACUGUGGAUCCCAGGAGCCGGGUUCGAAUCCCGGUCCGGGCC